UCAGUUCUGGUUGCAACAGUAUCAAAAAUACAGAAACACAGAAGAAAGUCACGGAACCUUGCAAGAUAGGGCUGAAAGAACCCUUGAGACAUCAUCCCCCCGAGAAGGACAAGAGCAACUUUAUCAAGAGGGAGAAGGAAAGAUUAAAACUUCAAUACCUAUAAACUGGAUAAACAAAGGAUAAUCAAGUUUGAGAGGAAGAAGGACUGUAUCAGACGCGCACCGCGUGGCACUGAGUGCUUCAGCUCUCCACUGUCUUGGCCCCUCUGCUUGCUUCUCUCAGGAAACUCAAAAAUGACACAUAUGGCCACGCUUGCACUUUUAAUGCGGUGAAGAGAAGAUUUGAGAUUGGGAGUCUCCUGGAACACCACUGCUCACCAUUGCUUCUUCCCUGGGGCUGGGGACAGCUGCUUGGCUCAGCCUUCCCAGGCCGAAAAGCUGUGAGGGAGCAAAAGGCUACAAGGACUAUGAGCUUUCUGCUUGCCAAGGAGGCGUAGCUGAUGCCUAGAAAUGGGCAAGGUGACACCUGCUUCUAGCAAGAAACGAAUUUUGAACAACCCUGCACCUCCUGUGCAGCAGAACCAAACGAGCUGGAAGGGGGUUUGCCUUCAGUUUAUCUGGUAGGAGUCUUGGUGACUGAUCCCGCAAAUACUGCUCUUGUUCCAGGUCUGUAAGUUCCAUCACCCAGGUACCUUGCUAUUCAGCCCAUAAGCGUUACUGGGUAAGGUAGUGGCCUGAGUGAUAUAUAGCACAAACGUAAUAUAAAGCUGAUUAUAAAUGUUAGAGGUCAAAUGAGAUCGGUAUUUUAAAGGUUUGAACAAGUGAACAUUUUUGAAUAAAGACAAAUCUUUAAUCCUGUAAUUUAAGCAUAGCACAUUGCAUUUGAAAGGGAUAGGUUU